AGUAGCGGCAGCUGGGUUCUGUUGUCGGCAACCAACAGAGUUGUUUUCUUUUCUCGCAUUCAUUAAAAUGCACAAGAAGAAAUUUCUAAUGAGUACUUGCUUCAAAUUCAUACUUCAGUGAAAUAAACACCACCACACAUAGGAAUGUGAAAGCAAAGUCAUCAUACACUGUUUGCUUCAUUGUAUGAGAAUCAAUGUUUGCAAGAUAAACUGCCCUAAUGGAAGAGGACUCUGAGUUACCUUUUUAGAGCAAAGCCACCUAGGUUACUCUGCUUUCCCCAGAGUGACCCCUCUGUUCUGCAAGUUCAAAAUCCUUGGAAGAAAUAAAUGCAUCUUUGUUCAAUAUAUAGAUUUUCUUCUUAAGAUUUUCAGAUUGAAGGGAGUAGCAGUAGAGUAUCAGAAGUAUCAGAAGCAAAAAAGUAAAUGUAUGAUUUGCAAAGCAUAACAAAAUGAAAAUAAGCUUCUGCAGUCAUGGAAGUUCAGAAUUGGAAAACAACUUAGAUUAUUUAUUCCAACCUCAUCGAAAAAGAGAUAAAGACAUGGAAUUCAGGAAAAGUGGUGAGGAAGCAAAUUCAGAAAUGUAUGACUAGGAAUAUGGAAGCAACUGAAUAUGAGGUUAGAAUGUGAAACUGAAUUUAAAGGUGUAACUUGGACCUGACUGAAAUAUGGCAAUUUAGCAGAAGUGGGAUUAAUUAUGUAGCCUUACCUAGUUGUACACAAGAUCAGGCUGGGACUGAAAUUCUACAAUAUGACUCCAUACCACCAAAAGAAUUCCAGCCCUCUGAGCAGUAGGAAAGAGAGUUUUGUUUUCUUGUAACCAGAACAUAAACUUUUGAUAGUCAUAACCUUUAUUUCAGUCUAUAAAUUUAGAUAUUGAUGGGGUUCAAAACAUUCUAUCCCCAAAUAUGGCACCAUGGAAUUUGAGCAAACGGCAAAAGUAGAAAGAUCACCCUUUGACUUUCUCCUGCCCUCCUCCUCUGAAAUCAGGUCAAGAGCCCCUCAUUUGAGAGGUGCUGUCCCUAUGCCCAGAGGACAGAACAUCCUUAUCUAUAAAGACACAAAUAUAU